GGUUACUGCUAUCGGUGUUCGCUUAAGCCAUGCGAGUCAUAUGUUCUUCGGAACAUGGCGUACUGCUCAGUAACACGUGGAUAACCUGCCCUUGGGUCCGGCAUAACCCCGGGAAACUGGGGAUAAUUCCGGAUAACGCACAUAUGCUGGAAUGCUUUAUGCGUCAAAUGGAUUCGUCCGCCCAAGGAUGGGUCUGCGGCCUAUCAGGUAGUAGUGGGUGUAAUGUACCUACUAGCCUACGACGGGUACGGGUUGUGAGAGCAGGAGCCCGGAGAUGGAUUCUGAGACAUGAAUCCAGGCCCUACGGGGCGCAGCAGGCGCGAAAACUUUACAAUGCGGGAAACCGUGAUAAGGGGACACCGAGUGCCAGCAUCAUAUGCUGGCUGUCCGGGUGUGUAAAAUACACCUGUUAGCAAGGGCCGGGCAAGACCGGUGCCAGCCGCCGCGGUAACACCGGCGGCCCGAGUGGUGAUCGUGAUUAUUGGGUCUAAAGGGUCCGUAGCCGGUUUGGUCAGUCCUCCGGGAAAUCUGACGGCUUAACCGUUAGGCUUUCGGGGGAUACUGCCAGACUUGGAACCGGGAGAGGUAAGAGGUACUACAGGGGUAGGAGUGAAAUCUUGUAAUCCCUGUGGGACCACCUGUGGCGAAGGCGUCUUACCAGAACGGGUUCGACGGUGAGGGACGAAAGCUGGGGGCACGAACCGGAUUAGAUACCCGGGUAGUCCCAGCCGUAAACGAUGCUCGCUAGGUGUCAGGCAUGGCGCGACCGUGUCUGGUGCCGCAGGGAAGCCGUGAAGCGAGCCACCUGGGAAGUACGGCCGCAAGGCUGAAACUUAA
rnacentral:rRNA from 1 species